GUAUAAAAUUACAAGGACUUUAAAGGAGACUGAUCCCAUCUGAUCUUUGAAGCAAAGCAGGGGCAUUUCUGGGUAGUACUUGGAUGGGAGACCACCAACAAAUUCUAGGUAUUGCAGGCU
rnacentral:rRNA from 1 species